CCUCUCCCCCCCCGUCUCGUUUAAGCUCCGAAACUCGGCCUCCCCUUCCGUCCACCGCGGGAUGCUGUCACCUAUUUUCUAUAGUUCGUCAGUUCGUCAGUACAGUGCACACCUUCUAUAUCCGUGUCAAACUUACUGCAGCCAGUUCCUGUCACCAAGACGCUGCAGUUCUUCUGAUUUGUUCCAUUUGAUUCAUUGGGAGAGUCCUGGUUCGAUCCCGGUUUCAAUUCCCCAGCUCGCUGCAUGUCCUGUGUUUGCUCGUGUCAGCCGAGCCUCUCCAAUUCAGCUCGCCAUGUCCCUGAUCCCUUUCGCUGCACAUCACUAAUCGAUCCCAACUUCACUGCCACUUGUUUCCUUGCUAGACAGCAGUACAGCGCCACCAUUUGUUCACUUUUCAUCGCCACCAGGAUACACAGAAGUCGUUGCACCACUCCUGAACGUUUUGUUCAUUUUCUUUCAGCUAGCACAUCUUGCAAAUCAUCAAUCCAUCCAGCAGCCUGCUAGUUUGCUUGUUUAGCUAGCUAUGCAUAACAUGAAACGAUCCAGAUCGUUGUCUGCUAGCUUGUGUAUAUAACGGCACACAUCAUUCUUUUACCAUCUCAUGUUCCAGAUUUUAGCAUCUAUCCAGAUUCAGUUAAAUAAAAAUGACACUUUCAGUUAUGUGUAGCUCGACUGGAAUUUCUGUUCUGUUGCCCACCUUCUGCUUUACCUGUUUCCGUUCCAGUUUUCAGCAUACACUCUGUUUCAGUUUUCAGUUUCAUCAAGUUGUAGCAUAGAUCUGCCCAAAAACUUUUCCACUAAGUUUCUAUCACAAAUCGAUCACCAGCCCAGUGGCAAGCUACACGAGAUCUGAUCAAGCAGACCUUGUUUUCAAAUCCCAGCAGAGUCAGUUCUCGUUUUGUUCAUGCCGGGGUUUUCCUCUGUAUCAGCAUUUGCUUCUUCCCGGAUAGGAUCACGAAGUGGUGUUGUGAGAUACGACGAGUUCUCCGACAAGUUCUUCUGCAGCUUUCCACAGGCGAGCCCACCCCUUCACCUAUUUUACUUUUACAUGCUCUUUUGAUCUAUUGCUAUCCUUGUGUUGCGAUUCUGUUGUGUCACGUGUCCUAUCCACCUGUUACCUAUAUGUCCGAGAUACACCUCCUCGCCCUACCUAUUGUUUGUUGUUUGCCAGCUUUGCGAGUCGUAGGCGAGUUUAGGGUCUUGUUGAUAUCUCGAGAUGUUCGGGAUAUCUUGUUGGGAGGUUAUCACAUGCUAUAUCUUUUGUUGGAGAUAAUCACACUUUACUUUAUUGUUAACAACUAAAAUUGUAAGCAGAGGCAUCUGUGAGCCCCUUUGCGAAAGCAUCGGAACUUUGACUCGCUAAUGUCCCCUAGGACCCGAGUUCUUGUUAUCUGUUCCGAGAUUGAGCGCUCUACCCGUACGUGGGGGAAUGGGACCCCCAUCACCCACUACCUUUCCUCGAGUCUGUUUAAUUGGGAGCCACAACCUUGGUUUUAUUUGCCCAUAUGCACGAUGCACGAUUUACUUCCUGUUGCCUUCGGGUGUUUAUUUCUGUACUGUACUCAUAACGCGGGACUCCUUAUCCUUGGCCGGUCGUUAGUGCCCGCCUUGGAAGCCGUCGCAAACCUCUGGGUCCGUAUCGGAGUACGGCCGAACUUCGUCACGGGUAGCUUAGUUGGGUGGCUCCCAUUAAACUUUCUCUUGCAUUGGGAACGGUCUUGUUGUGAGACUCCACCUGUAGUAAGUGGGUUCGAGCAUGCGUAUGGUUACAUUUGGGCAACCCCUGCAGGGUGUACAUCUUAUCGAUAAGCCGUGUCCGCGGUUAUGGACGACUUCGAAUUGUAUAGCUUGAUCAUAGAACAACUUACACCUUAUUUCCUGUUGUUAAUAAUUUGCUAAUAAAACUCUUUCAAAAGUGUGUGUGCCUUUGCAAUACCUCUUGGCGAAGGGGGAUCGCAUUGGCUGGGUUAUGUUUGUGUAGUAUUUAUCUGUUACCUUGUGCGCUCUCUUAUCUUCUCUGAGUAGACGGAUGUUGUAGCGUGUCUCUAUUGGAUAGUAGCUUUGCUGCCGCUAACUCCACAUAUAGCCGGGUGAAAUUUAUACCGCCCACCAGCGAGCAUAGCUGGUCUUGUCUCGCAAGUACGUGCCAAUGGUACUUACCCUCGCCUUCCUUUCUUUUUGUCUCCUCCCCCUUUUGUCGGCAACCGAUGGCCCGACUUUGACAGGUACGAGAUGACGACGUUAGCAAGGUUACCCUUCCGGCUUGGCCUGGGCAGGGUUAUGGACGCCACUGGUUAUCUUCAGGACUCUUAGUCCAAUUUGUAUCUUGUCCGUACUCGGACGCAUUUGAUCUUCUGUAUGAUUUGGAUCUUUGUAUGUAUCUAUUUGUAUCUUGACUCGUUGGAGUCGUUGUUGUAAUAUAUGUAUCUUGUGGGCUCUAUUGUAAUCUUGUUGUAAUGUUA